rnacentral:snRNA from 1 species
AUCACUUCUUGGCCUUUUGGCUAAGAUCAAGUGU